rnacentral:misc_RNA from 1 species
GCAUCCCACGGAGAGCCACCGUCAUGUCCUCGAGCUUCCUUCUUAAGGCCAUCGUUGUCGCUGCAGUCAUCGCGAUGCCUUCGCUGGCGAACGCCGGGCAGCCUUUCGACGCCAGGGCCUUCCAGGCCUCGCAGGCCGCCGGCAAGUCGAUCCUCGUCGACGUCACCGCGCCGUGGUGCCCGACCUGCAAGCAGCAGCGCCCGAUCGUGCAGCAGAUCGAAAAGGAGCGUCCCGAUCUGGUCGUAUUCGAAGUCGAUUUCGACAGCGCCAAGGACGUCCUGAAACA